AGCGAACGCUGGCGGCAGGCCUAACACAUGCAAGUCGAACGAACUCUUCGGAGUUAGUGGCGGACGGGUGAGUAACACGUGGGAACGUGCCUUUUGGUUCGGAAUAACUCAGGGAAACUUGUGCUAAUACCGAAUGUGCCCUUCGGGGGAAAGAUUUAUCGCCAUUAGAGCGGCCCGCGUCUGAUUAGCUAGUUGGUGAGGUAACGGCUCACCAAGGCGACGAUCAGUAGCUGGUCUGAGAGGAUGACCAGCCACACUGGGACUGAGACACGGACCAGACUCCUACGGGAGGCAGCGGUGGGGAAUCUUGCGCAAGGGGCGAAAGCCUGACGCAGCCAUGCCGCGUGAAUGAUGAAGGUCUUAGGAUUGUAAAAUUCUUUCACCGGGGACGAUAAUGACGGUACCCGGAGAAGAAGCCCCGGCUAACUUCGUG
rnacentral:rRNA from 1 species